GAUGAACGCUGACAGAAUGCUUAACACAUGCAAGUCAACUUGAACUUCGGUUUGGGUGGCGGACGGGUGAGUAACGCGUAAAUAACUUGCCUCACAGCUAGGGACAACAUUUGGAAACGUAUGCUAAUACCUGAUAUUAUGAUUAUAUGGCAUCGUAUAAUUAUGAAAGCUAUAUGGGCUGUGAGAGAGCUUUGCGUCCCAUUGGCUAGUUGGAGGGGUAACAGCUCACCAAGGCGAUGAUGGGUAGCCGGCCUGGGGGGGUGAUCGGCCACAAGGGAAUUGAGACAAGGCCCUUAUUCCUACGGGAGGAAGCAGGGGGGAUAAUUGGACAAGGGACCGAGAGUCUGACAGAGAAAUUGUGUGUGCGAGAUGAAGUUUUGCGGAAUGUAAAGUUUUUGCAGUUGGGAAGAAAAAAAUGACGGUAAUAACAGAAGAAGUGACGGCUAAAUACGUG
rnacentral:rRNA from 1 species